GGUUCCUAUGGCUUGGACACACCAUGUGCCUGUUAUACAUUGAUUGAAAGUUCUUUAUGGAAUGAAAACCUCAGUGUCCUUUAACACAUGGAAAGUUCUGAUGUGACCGUGGAUGAAGAUGAAAUCUCAGAUGACGAGGUGUCCACAGAUAAAAUGCGCCAUAAUCGUCUGGGUCCGGAUAACCUUGACGACACGUUGGAAUACCGCCCUCCGGGGUUCCCCUCUGCUGAUCAAACGCAGAAUGAAGAGGAAUCUGCCUCAACUCUAUCAGGCUGAAAGCAUGUGUUUAUCCGCAGCUAUGAGUAAAACGCGUGAUGUC